CUUGAGCCUUUAAUAACUAUGCUAUCAGAACUAAAGCAAAAGUUCACAAGAUAAAACUAUAUGCAAUACCUGAAAGAAUUUACAACAACACUGACUCACUGGUGAGCAUCAUCCUUCAUCAAUUCAACACUUCAACUUCAUUGAUCAUAUUAUUAGCUCAUGCCAGUGACAUUAAAGUUAGUCUUGGCAUCCAUGAGUUACCCAAUGCUCAACAAAAUUGUUUAACGUGCAUAGAUAUUGUGCAGAGUUCAAUUUAUGAUGAUUUUAACCAAUUUUGAAAGAACUAUUGCUACAGCAAGCACAACAGGGCAAAGAGAUUCAAAACUUUCCUUCUGUGAUUAUGACAGAAGAAAACGAUUCCAGUUUCAUCCAUUUUGACUAUUAAUAUCAACCUUCUACCGUAUAAUAUAAAAAAG
rnacentral:misc_RNA from 1 species